GGUCGAUUAGCUCAGCUGGGAGAGCACCUCCCUUACAAGGAGGGGGUCACUGGUUCGAGCCCAGUAUCGACCAC
rnacentral:tRNA from 1 species